rnacentral:misc_RNA from 1 species
GAUGAAGAACGUAGUGAAAUGCGAUAAGUAAUGUGAAUUGCAGAAUUCAGUGAAUCAUCGAAUCUUUGAACGCACAUUGCGCCCGCCAGCAUUCUGGCGGGCAUGCCUGUUCGAGCGUCAUUUCAACCCUCAAGCUCUGCUUGGUGUUGGGGCCCUACGUCUGACGUAGGCCCUCAAAGACAGUGGCGGACCCUCUCGGAGCCUCCUUUGCGUAGUAACUAACGUCUCGCACUGGGAUUCGGAGGGACUCUUGCCGUAAAACCCCCAAUUUUUACAGGUUGACCUCGGAUCAGGUAGGAAUACCCGCUGAACUUAAGCAUAUCAAUAAGCGGAGGA